rnacentral:rRNA from 1 species
AUUGAACGCUGGUGGCAGGCUUAACACAUGCAAGUCGAGCGGGGUGAUGGUGCUUGCACUAUCACUUAGCGGCGGACGGGUGAGUAAUGCUUAGGAAUCUGCCUAUUAGUGGGGGACAACAUCUCGAAAGGGAUGCUAAUACCGCAUACGUCCUACGGGAGAAAGCAGGGGAUCACUUGUGACCUUGCGCUAAUAGAUGAGCCUAAGUCGGAUUAGCUAGUUGGUGGGGUAAAGGCCUACCAAGGCGACGAUCUGUAGCGGGUCUGAGAGGAUGAUCCGCCACACUGGGACUGAGACACGGCCCAGACUCCUACGGGAGGCAGCAGUGGGGAAUAUUGGACAAUGGGGGGAACCCUGAUCCAGCCAUGCCGCGUGUGUGAAGAAGGCCUUAUGGUUGUAAAGCACUUUAAGCGAGGAGGAGGCUCUUUUGGUUAAUAACCAAGAUGAGUGGACGUUACUCGCAGAAUAAGCACCGGCUAACUCUGUGCAGCCGCCGCGGUAA